AAUAACAGGAAGCCAAGGUGUUUACCUGAAGCUGCAGAGUUCAUCGACCUAGAUUUGUAAGCAAGACCUCGGAAAUACAGACAAAGGGGCUGCGCCGCCCGGCUCUUCCCUGAUGCAGAUGGCAGCAGAAAGGGGACCACUGUCUCUAGAAGUCACUUCUGCAAAAGCCAGAGGAAGCGGCCCAACUGACACUGUGCGGUCCUGGGGCCCCUGCUCGGCCCCCCUGCCCUGUGCAGUCUGUGCAGAGCACUGGUUCCAGAUCCGGGGCCGUGUCCCUGACUGUCAGGCGCACCGGCAGGGUGCGGGGGUCACGUUGAGAGGACCGGGGGCCACAGAAGGCCCAGGCCGGAGCAGCCAGGCUCUGGAACCACCCCACGCCCGGGUGCGGUCCUGCCCCGCUCGCGGCCACAGGCCUGGGCACCUGACCCAGGGCCCAGCCCCGGCCUUUUGCCCAGCAGAGCUCAGCCCAGCCUUGGGCUUCGUCCUGGCCUUUCCCUGCCCAAUGGACACAUGGCUUCAGGUCUCCGCCCGCCCCGGCCUCCUCCCGGCGUGGCCGUGCACUGUCCCCUCCUGGUGUCCCCACCCUGCCAGCCCCAGAGUGCCCGUGGCCCCUCCCCACCGGCAGCUGGGGCUGUUGCCGGCCAGGAGCCCAUAGGCCUGGGUGCCCCCUCGUCCUCUCCCGGGGUCAGGUGCCAAGAGGGAUGCAUCUUCCACGCCAGCAGCCUCACUGCCCUUCCUGCCCCACAUGCCAGCCUGGUGGGCCCAGGGCCUCCGUCCCCUCUCUGUGCUCCAGGGUGGCUGUGACAGCCACAGGCCAUGGGGUGGGUGGCCCAGGUCAGCCCGAAGCCCCUAUGCACCCACCCCUGGGCUCGAGCGGCCCCUGCCUCCCGCCCCCACCCCCUCUGGCCCUGGGCACCACCCUAGUGCCUGCACAUCCCCGAAGGGCCCACGGAAGCCCCACAGGAAGCACUGCGUCCGGAUGGAUGCUCACAUGACACGGUGAAGAGCGACCUGGCCGCCGGCGCUGGUCCCUGACGCCCUACGCCCUGCGUGUGCAGUGGGUCCCUCCCGUCAUUUACGAUACGCUUUCAGACGUUUCACUCUGGAGUUUUUCAAACAAACGCAAAAGCACAGGGGGCGAGCCCGCGUCCAGCACGCCCGCUGCCCUCACCUCCCGGUGCCCCAUCGCACGCCGUGGAGCCUGGUCCCCGGCUACUGAUCAUCACUGUGGGUUUGCUGGGACGUCUUUACCCUUUCACCACGGCUGGGCCUGUCGGGUGACUUCCAACCUCUCACUCCCACCUGCUCCCACUCAGAGCUUCGACUUUAUUUCUGUCUCUGCGCAGGUUACACUUUGGGGAGGGAGCUCCUGACUUAUCAGGCCCUGCAGCCCCUGAGCUCCUUGCUCUCGGGCAGCUGAACCGGGGCCCCCAUCUCACCAGCACAGCAGGAGUCCAUCUCCAUUUCCCCCAUUUAGGAACCCCUACAGCAUCACCUUGUCACUGUCCAGGCAGAGACGCCAGGAAGAACCCCUUCCUCAGCACCCAGCUCCUGCCCACCGUUCUCGGCAGACACCUACGGGAGCCCCCCCACAGGGCCUGGCGCUGGACACCGUCCCAAGAAGCCUGCGAGCGGCCCAGCCUCAGGACCAGGCUGGCUGCCCACCCCAGCAGAGACCCCCUGUCUUUCUGUCCCUCCUCUCGCCCACGUGCCUCUGGCCCCACCAGGCCCUGGAAACCAGGGUGGCCACGCGUUAUACCCACCCCGCCAGGCUCCCCACCACCUCCGAGAAUCAGCGGCAAGCACGCAGCCCCAGGGAAGUCCCUGAGUGCCUGGCGGAGGCCCUGAGGGACCUGGGCCCCCGCGCUGGCCCCCGACGCCCUAUGCCCUGCGUGUGCAGUGGGUCCCUCCCGUCAUUUAAGAUACACUUUCAGACGGCAAGGAGAGCGUCCCAGGGGGAUAAGCCCCCAGCUCCCGGCUCCCAGCUCCCAGCCGGCCCAGCACUGCAGCCGGGGGGCAGGGGACUCUGCAAAGGGGAAUCUCAGCAGCUCUGAAGGGGCCGCAGAGGGACCGUCCCUCCCCCCAGUCCCCCGCCCUCCACCGCAUCUGUGGUGCCCCGGGAUCUCUCUUGGUGAAGGAGCCCAGGUUAAGACCCUCCACCAAGCCCCCACCUUUAUGCCAACGAAUCACUCUGCUUUCAGACCCCCACCCCGACUGCUCCCCGCACAGGGGCCCGGGACUUACUCAGGGCCCGCCCGGCGCCAGCCUCGUGCUCCCUCCUUGCAGGCCCAGUUGAGAGCUUUCAGGAAGUAGCAGGAGUGUCUCUAAAACUCCCCAAACCGCAAACAGAGCGAGACCUCAAGACCUGGGGUUGGCCAGCCCGCCGGGGUGUCUUCUCACUGGUGUUGAGACUGUGGCCUCAUCGCUUUGCUGAAAACGGCCUCAGUGCCACUUCUCGUGGUCCUGGCAACACCCAGACCUGCCUUCCCUCAGGACCUUCCUAGGCGGCUCGGGCUGGACAUGGGACCAGCUCGCAUGAGCUACUGGUGCCUACUGCUCCCAGACAGCUGCGGCUGGGCACCCAGGGGCAGGGACCCCCGGGGAGACGGACCCCAGCUCCGCAGGCCCAGGCCUGGCAUGGCCCCUCACAUGCCGCUGGGCACAGAGCAGGGCUGCCUGCAAGAGGCCUUGCCUUCCCAGGGACACACCCGUGGGGCACUGGGAGCAGAGAUGCUGCCCGGCACUGCCCACCGUGGCCCCAGGACAGCACCUGUCCUCAGCGCCCAGACGUCUCACAUGGAGCCCGCCCUCCCCACUCCCCAUCCUGGGGUGGGCCAGCACACCCCGUCUAGGUGGUGUCUCUGAGCCCCUAAAGCCGAUCCCAGCCAGGCCAGGUGGCCUCUGAGGGUGGGUUUCUCUUGAGAGGCCGCGUGGGAUCCCCCAGGGACCCAAUGUCCACGCUGGCGGUGGGGGGGGGUCUGUGUGUCUCUCUCCGGCUUGCAGGAUCACAGCCUAAAGCAUGUGGCCAGUGUCCUCGGAAGAUGCGGGGGGCUGCAGGUGACCGCCACCUUGCCUGACCACCCUGGGCUGGUUCUGGGUUUCGGGGUGAGACAGAGACACCGUGGGCCCCUCUCUGCGUCCCCACUGCAGACCUGGCUCUUCAGCCCAGGGCAGGGCUGGGCCCACCAACAUUUGUGGGUGACCUGUGUCCAGCACCACAGCACGGGCGGUAGGCGGCGUUGGAAAUGAGGCCACCGCCACCCCCUCACCUCCAGGGCCCGGGGAGCCUGGGAGGGCUGGCCCCCACCCUGCACUUUCCCUCGGACGUUCAUCUGGUGGCUGGAGGCCGGCUCCCUCUCCGUUCCCCCACCUCCACCGCAGCAGCUUCUCAGGGUGGGUGGGGACAUGGCGCCCAGAGACCUGGGUGUGCGGCACAUGCGGGUCUGAGCACAGGCUCAUCUUGGCCUUGCCGGAGCACCUGCCCAGGGCAGCUCUUCCCAGAUGAGCAGAGGAAGGUAGAGCUGAGGCUCUGGGUGGGCUGGGUGGUACCCACACCCCUGCGGUCUGAGUGAGGCAGGGCCUCAGCCGGGGCACUGUCCACAUCCGGCCAGUGGACCAGACACCCUCAGGGAUGGCGGGGGACAGCUGUCAUCAUGGGGGCGGCCCAGGCCCUCCCCGGGACUGUUCCCUUCUACACGCCCACCUAGAGGUCCGCGUAUUCCCAGGCUGCCCAGCGCCCAACUGAUGCGCUUGGGCCUGAAACCCUGGCCAGCGUCACCCUCUGUGCCAUGGCUGUCGGGUCAGGGGUGGCAGCUGAAUCCUCCCCUUGGGGUCUUAAGGGGGGCCUGGGAAGGGAAGCCUGGGCCCCUGCAGUGGGAGUGGAGGGCUGUGAGCUGGGGGGUGGCAGCUGUGCCCACCCCACCCCCUUCCGAGCUCAAUUCCUGACCAGCAAAGCAGGUGUGGGGAAGGGGUUUUGGGGGAGUGAAGGGGCUGGGUGCUUUUCCUGGAGGCUGAGUGUCUUUCAGGCAGGACAAAGGGGGACCCUGUAGCCCCCUCUUGACAAUGUCCUGGGGGCCCCCUUGAGAAGAGGCCACUAGUUUCCGUGGUCCCACUUCCACCAGGCAGGUGUCUGUGAACCCAGAAGGGUUUCCUCACUGACCCUGUCUGCAACCUCACUUCCAUCACCUCAUGACAGGGGAACAUUAUUCACCGUUUUAAGUGGGUUGAAUAUUCAUGGAUUCAAACUCAAGAAGAGGUAAGAGGGCGGGCGGUGGCGACGCUCUCCGGGCAUCUGCUGGGCACCAUGCACCUCCGGGCAACGUCUCUACUCUCCUCACUGCUCCUAAAUGUUUUAUAGGGGAAGGAGGGGACCACCACCCACGUUCAACAGGCACGAAGAUCCCUGAGAUGGGCUUCGUGUUUGAGCAGAAUGAGGCCCCUGGCCUGGCACCCAGACCCCCGAGCUCACCUCCAGAGCCACGUGUGUGUCCUGCCCGCCCUCUGCACCCCUCAGCCCCCGACAGCCAGCCUGGUUGUCCCCAGGUGUUUACAGCAGGGAUGGCGCACCUGGUUGACAUCAGGCCUCUCGGUCUCCUCACUCGGAAGCAGCGCCCCGACCCCUUGUGCCCGUGACAUUCGCUUUCUGAAGGGGCCUGUCUCCUAAAAUGUCGCACGUUCUAGAUUUGCUUGAUUGGGUCCUCCCAGAGUCAUUGUACGUGGUUCUCCAUCACGGGCUUCCCGUGACUGGGAAGUGGUUCUAAAGCCCCGGCAGGUUCAGUUCGACGUUUCUGGCACCGGGAUCACGGCGACAACAACCACUCCUUCGACAGGGCCGGUGAUGGGUGGUGGGGUGGAUGCCCCCUGGCACCCUGGCCGCCCCUCCUGGAGCUGUACCCCCCACACCCCACCCCAGGGCAGCCACCUUGCUUGGCUGGCUAAGUGGUGACUUUCCCAUUAUGUGACAUUUCCACCUGUGUCCUCUGGCAGGUUCAGGGGGGAAAUGAGCUGCCCCUCCCCUCUCCUCCCAACCGACAGGCAACAGUCGCCUUCUGCUGUAGCCAAGGUCUUGGACUCUCUCUCACCCUCUCACCGAGUAUCAUUAAGGACUCAGGGAUUUUUAUUGUGGUAAAUUAUACAUAACGUAAAAUUCACCAUUUUAGGGGCUUCCCUGGUGGCACAGUGGUUGAGA